AAAGUCUUUUUUUUAAAGAAAAAAAAACAUGAAUUUAGACUUCCCACAAGUUGUCCGUCUUUCAGGAAUUUCAUGCAAGUUUAUCAUAACACUGUAAGAACAUAAUUCAGCAUUUUAGGAAGCUUAUGGUGGGCUUAUGGUGGCUUAUUGUUUCAUCAACACUAACUGCUGUUUGUGCUGUUUCUCCCACUGUUUCUUUGUGUUCGAGUAUAUUCUCUGGCCAAAGGAGACAUGUCUGUCCAUCAUCCUCCUGCCUGCCUCUGCUUUCAAAAGGAUGAGACCUCUUCAAGGCCCUUUAUCCAGGUCACUCCUAAAGGCAUGUUUAGAUCCAACACAAAGCAAAGCUCUGAUUAGAAAUGAACAGCCAGUUCAGAGGCUAAUUCUCAUGGGAUUAAUGUUCCCAUCUCAUGUGUAGUAUUAAUUAAUGUGUAAUUUCUAAUCCAACUUUUUAGGGCUGUAGAUAUUAGAUGACAUUAAUGAAUUUGGCAGCGGACAAUGGGUUUCCGACCCAAAAUCUAACGAUAGGGGCCCUUUUCUUAAAAAUAUGGGCAGCUGUAUAUUUUCCUGUAUUAAAGCCCUUUUAUUUUAUGAAUGAACUUUUAUACAUUUUUUUUUUAUUAUUAUUAUUUCUAUCUACCAGUGUUGUUAUUGGUCUGAUCAUAGAAUAACCUAUCCAUAUUAAGCUUUGUGAGGACUUUGCAUUGACUUUAUCCAUUGGUGUGAACCACAGAGGUUCGUUCUUGGACCGUUUUAUAUUCAAGACCUUAAAAAAAUCAACUGAUUUAGUCACCUUGUGUGUCAGCUGAUGAGUGUGUAUUUCUCCAGGAUAUUUCAAGACUGUAUACUUUCUGUAAUGUACCAAGAUACUGGUAUAUUUAUUCUUUGUAUUGUAGGUGCUGUCUGUUAAAGAAGACUUAAAGGAAAUCUCAUCUGAAAAAAGGGUAAGUGUUAAAAUUUUCCCUACUGUCAUGGCCACGUGUGAUUCCAAGUGUGAGAGAUCCUGAUGGCCAGCUGCUGUCCUACUCUAUUAUUGAAGUGCCUUUCAAGAGCUCAUCUUCUUAUCCACUCAAGGGGGAAAUUACCAACAUCUGUACAUAGCAUAACAAUAUGUUCAUUUUGUAUCAGAUCAGCCAGUACUGCAUAAGAAUAUAAAUAAAUGGUGAAUUUUACAAUGA